rnacentral:sRNA from 1 species
UAGAGGAAGUAAAAGUCGUAACAAGGUUUCCGUAGGUGAACCUGCGGAAGGAUCAUUACCGAAUUGUCAACACGAGUUGUUGCUGGUCCUCGAAUGGGGGCACGUGCACGCUCUGUUUGCACAUCCACCCACACCUGUGCACCCUCUGUAGUUCUGCAGCCUGGGGGGCUCUGCUCCCCUGCUGUGGUCCUACGUAUUUACACACACACACUGUAAUAAAGUCCCAGGGAAUGUAUACCGCGUUUAACGCAAUACAAUACAACUUUCAGCAACGGAUCUCUUGGCUCUCGCAUCGAUGAAGAACGCAGCGAAAUGCGAUAAGUAAUGUGAAUUGCAGAAUUCAGUGAAUCAUCGAAUCUUUGAACGCACCUUGCGCCCUUUGGCUAUUCCGAUGGGCAUGCCUGUUUGAGUAUCAUGAACACCUCAACUCUCAUGGCUUGCCGUGAUGAGCUUGGACUCUGGGGGUCUUGCUGGCCUGUUGGUCGGCUCCCCUCAAAUGAAUCAGCUUGCCAGUGUUUGGUGGCAUCACAGGUGUGAUAACUAUCUACGCUUGUGGUUUGUCACCAGGUAACCUUCAGCAGAUGGAGGUUCUCUGGAGCUUACAAAAGUCUCUCCUCGGUGAGGACAGCUCUUUGAACAUUGAUCUCAAAUCAGGUAGGACUACCCGCUGAACUUAAGCAUAUCAAUA